UUUACAAUGAAGAGUUUGAUCCUGGCUCAGGAUGAACGCUAGCUACAGGCUUAACACAUGCAAGUCGAGGGGCAGCAUUUUAGUUUGCUUGCAAACUGAAGAUGGCGACCGGCGCACGGGUGAGUAACACGUAUCCAACCUGCCGAUAACUCCGGGAUAGCCUUUCGAAAGAAAGAUUAAUACCGGAUAGCAUACGAAUAUCGCAUGAUAUUUUUAUUAAAGAAUUUCGGUUAUCGAUGGGGAUGCGUUCCAUUAGUUUGUUGGCGGGGUAACGGCCCACCAAGACUACGAUGGAUAGGGGUUCUGAGAGGAAGGUCCCCCACAUUGGAACUGAGACACGGUCCAAACUCCUACGGGAGGCAGCAGUGAGGAAUAUUGGUCAAUGGGCGAGAGCCUGAACCAGCCAAGUAGCGUGAAGGAUGAAGGCUCUAUGGGUCGUAAACUUCUUUUAUAUGGGAAUAAAGUUUUCCACGUGUGGAAUUUUGUAUGUACCAUAUGAAUAAGGAUCGGCUAACUCCGUGCCAGCAGCCGCGGUAAUACGGAGGAUCCGAGCGUUAUCCGGAUUUAUUGGGUUUAAAGGGAGCGUAGGUGGAUUGUUAAGUCAGUUGUGAAAGUUUGCGGCUCAACCGUAAAAUUGCAGUUGAAACUGGGAGUCUUGAGUACAGUAGAGGUGGGCGGAAUUCGUGGUGUAGCGGUGAAAUGCUUAGAUAUCACGAAGAACUCCGAUUGCGAAGGCAGCUCACUAGACUGUCACUGACACUGAUGCUCGAAAGUGUGGGUAUCAAACAGGAUUAGAUACCCUGGUAGUCCACACAGUAAACGAUGAAUACUCGCUGUUUGCGAUAUACAGUAAGCGGCCAAGCGAAAGCAUUAAGUAUUCCACCUGGGGAGUACGCCGGCAACGGUGAAACUCAAAGGAAUUGACGGGGGCCCGCACAAGCGGAGGAACAUGUGGUUUAAUUCGAUGAUACGCGAGGAACCUUACCCGGGCUUAAAUUGCAACAGAAUAUAUUGGAAACAGUAUAGCCGUAAGGCUGUUGUGAAGGUGCUGCAUGGUUGUCGUCAGCUCGUGCCGUGAGGUGUCGGCUUAAGUGCCAUAACGAGCGCAACCCUUAUCUUUAGUUACUAACAGGUCAUGCUGAGGACUCUAGAGAGACUGCCGUCGUAAGAUGUGAGGAAGGUGGGGAUGACGUCAAAUCAGCACGGCCCUUACGUCCGGGGCUACACACGUGUUACAAUGGGGGGUACAGAAGGCGGCUACCUGGUGACAGGAUGCUAAUCCCAAAAACCUCUCUCAGUUCGGAUCGAAGUCUGCAACCCGACUUCGUGAAGCUGGAUUCGCUAGUAAUCGCGCAUCAGCCAUGGCGCGGUGAAUACGUUCCCGGGCCUUGUACACACCGCCCGUCAAGCCAUGAAAGCCGGGGGUACCUGAAGUACGUAACCGCAAGGAGCGUCCUAGGGUAAAACUGGUAAUUGGGGCUAAGUCGUAACAAGGUAGCCGUACCGGAAGGUGCGGCUGGAACACCUCCUUUCUG
rnacentral:rRNA from 1 species